AUCCUUAUGCUAGGGCAUUACGUGUAUCAGUGAGGAUUCGUCCGAGAUCAUGUGUUUGCUAGUUGAAAACUUCAACAUGACUGCUCUCAGCUCUUCUUCUAGAUGGGCUGGGGAAUUUUUGGAACCCCAAAACCAAG
rnacentral:snRNA from 1 species